rnacentral:rRNA from 1 species
GUGAGGAAUAUUGCGCAAUGGAGGCAACUCUGACGCAGCCAUGCCGCGUGCAGGAAGAAGGCGCUACGCGUUGUAAACUGCUUUUAACCGGGAAGAAACCCCAGGACGUGUCCUGGGUUGACGGUACCGGAGGAAUAAGCACCGGCUAACUUCGUGCCAGCAGCCGCGGUAAUACGAAGGGUGCAAGCGUUAUCCGGAUUCAUUGGGUUUAAAGGGUGCGUAGGCGGAGCGUUAAGUCAGUGGUGAAAUCCUGCAGCUUAACUGUAGACUUGCCAUUGAUACUGGAGCUCUUGAGUGCGCUUGAAGUGGGCGGAAUGUGCCGUGUAGCGGUGAAAUGCUUAGAUAUGGCACAGAACACCAAUUGCGAAGGCAGCUCACUAAGGCGAUACUGACGCUGAGGCACGAAAGCGUGGGGAUCGAACAGGAUUAGAUACCCCUGUAGUCC